AUUGAACGCUAGCGGGAUGCUUUACACAUGCAAGUAGAACGAGUGGCGGACGGGUGAGGAAUAUAUCGGAACGUGCCCAGUAGCGGGGGAUCAAUACUCGAAAGAGAGGCUAAUAACGCAUACUUUUGGAGCGGCCGAUAUCGGAUUAGCUAGUUGGUGGGGUAAAGGCUCACCAAGGCAACGAUCCGUAGCUGGUUUGAGUGUGCGACGAGCCACACUGGGACUUAGACACGGCCCAGACUCCGACGGGAGGCGGCAGUGGGGAAUGUUGGACAAUGGGGGAAACCCUGAUCCAGCCAUCCCGCGUGUAUGAGAAGUCCUUCGGGUUGUAAAGUACUUUUGGCAGAGAAGCGGUAUCUGCUGAAUAAGCACCGGCUAACUACGUGCCAGCAGCCGCGGUAAUUC
rnacentral:rRNA from 1 species